UACGGAGGGGGCUAGCGUUGUUCGGAAUUACUGGGCAUAAAGGGUGCGUAGGCGGCUUGUUAAGUCAGGGGUGAAAGUUUUCGGCCCAACCGGAAAAUUGCCUUUGAUACUGGCGAGCUGGAGUGCGUGAGGGGUGACCGGAACGAGUGGUGUAGCGGUGAAAUGCGUAGAUAUCACUCGGAAGGCCAACGGCGAAGGCAGGUCACUGGUGCGCAACUGACGCUGAGGCACGAAAGCGUGGGGAGCAAACAGG
rnacentral:rRNA from 1 species